rnacentral:rRNA from 1 species
AUUGAACGCUAGCGGCAGGCCUAACACAUGCAAGUCGAGCGAGCGGCGGACGGGUGAGUAAUGUAUCGGGAUGUGCCCGGUGGAGGGGGAUCACUACUGGGAGCUGUGGCUAAUACCGCAUACUAUCGGAGAGGCCGAUAUCGGAUUAGCUAGUAGGUGGGGUAAAGGCUCACCAAGGCGACGAUCCGGAGCUGGUCUGAGAGGAUGAUCAGCCACAAUGGGACGGAGACACGGCCCAGACUCCUACGGGAGGCAGCAGUGGGGAAUAUUGGACAAUGGGCGAAAGCCUGAUCCAGCCAUGCCGCGUGUAUGAAGAAGGCCUUCGGGUUGUAAAGUACUUUAGGCGGGGAGGCGGUACCCGCAGAAUAAGCACCGGCUAACUACGUGCCAGCAGCCGCGGUAAUAC